UCCGGUUUGACACCGGCAGUCUCCCUAGAGUGCCCGGCAUAACCCGCUGGUAACUAGGGACGAGGGUUGCGCUCGUUGCGGGACUUAACCCAACAUCUCACGACACGAGCUGACGACAGCCAUGCAGCACCUGUGUCCCGGCCUAUUGCUAGGAGGAAUCCAUCUCUGGAGACCGUCCGGGCAUGUCAAGGGCUGGUAAGGUUCUUCGCGUUGCGUCGAAUUAAACCACAUGCUCCACCGCUUGUGCAGGCCCCCGUCAAUUUCUUUGAGUUUUAAUCUUGCGACCGUACUCCCCAGGCGGAAUGCUUAAAGCGUUAGCGACGGCACCCGAGGACUAUAUAACCCCAGACACCAAGCAUUCAUCGUUUAAGGCUAGGACUAC
rnacentral:misc_RNA from 1 species